rnacentral:rRNA from 1 species
AGUCCACGCAGUAAACGAUGAUAACUCGCUGUCGGCGAUACACAGUCGGUGGCCAAGCGAAAGCGAUAAGUUAUCCACCUGGGGAGUACGUUCGCAAGAAUGAAACUCAAAGGAAUUGACGGGGGCCCGCACAAGCGGAGGAACAUGUGGUUUAAUUCGAUGAUACGCGAGGAACCUUACCCGGGCUUGAAAGUUAGCGACGGAUCUGGAAACAGGUCUUCCCUUCGGGGCGCGAAACUAGGUGCUGCAUGGUUGUCGUCAGCUCGUGCCGUGAGGUGUCGGGUUAAGUCCCAUAACGAGCGCAACCCCUGCUGUUAGUUGCCAUCAGGUAAAGCUGGGCACUCUAGCGGGACUGCCUCUGUAAGGAGGAGGAAGGUGGGGAUGACGUCAAAUCAGCACGGCCCUUACGUCCGGGGCGACACACGUGUUACAAUGGUAGGUACAGAGGGCAGCCACCCAGCGAUGGGGAGCAAAUCUCGAAAGCCUAUCUCAGUUCGGAUUGGAGGCUGAAACUUGCCUCCAUGAAGUUGGAUUCGCUAGUAAUCGCGCAU